rnacentral:tRNA from 2 species
AAAAAGAUGCUUUAAGGAAAGGGAGAAGUUGCGAAGUGUUCAAGCUGAGGCCAAACCGGAAUCUUCUCUUUUUG